rnacentral:rRNA from 1 species
ACCCGCUGAAUUUAAGCAUAUCAAUAAGCGGAGGAAAAGAAACCAACAGGGAUUGCCCUAGUAACGGCGAGUGAAGCGGCAACAGCUCAAAUUUGAAAUCUGGCUCUCGGGCCCGAGUUGUAAUUUGUAGAGGAUGCUUUUGAUGCGGUGCCUUCCGAGUUCCCUGGAACGGGACGCCAUAGAGGGUGAGAGCCCCGUCUGGUUGGAUGCCAAAUCUCUGUAAAGCUCCUUCGACGAGUCGAGUAGUUUGGGAAUGCUGCUCUAAAUGGGAGGUAUAUGUCUUCUAAAGCUAAAUACCGGCCAGAGACCGAUAGCGCACAAGUAGAGUGAUCGAAAGAUGAAAAGCACUUUGAAAAGAGAGUUAAAAAGUACGUGAAAUUGUUGAAAGGGAAGCGUUUAUGACCAGACUUGGGCUUGGUUAAUCAUCUGGGGUUCUCCCCAGUGCACUCCGCUUGGUUGAGGCCAGCAUCAGUUUUGGCGGCCGGAUAAAGACUUCAGGAAUGUGACUCCUCCGGGAGUGUUAUAGCCUGCUGUGUAAUACGGCCGCUGGGACUGAGGACCGCGCUUCGGCUAGGAUGCUGGCAUAAUGGUCAUCAGCCACCCGUCUUGAAACACGGACCAAGGAG